rnacentral:tRNA from 1 species
AUCGAAGAUGUCAGCUUGCUGGCAAGCACCCACACGAAUUGCUUGAUUCACUGAUAGAAGAGCAAUUGAGUUAGUUAGACUCAAGGUAAGACGAUUGGGUCUGUAGCUCAGUUGGUUAGAGCGCACCCCUGAUAAGGGUGAGGUCGGCAGUUCGAAUCUGCCCAGACCCACCAAUCGAUGGGGCCAUAGCUCAGCUGGGAGAGCGCCUGCCUUGCACGCAGGAGGUCAGGAGUUCGAUCCUCCUUGGCUCCACCAUCUCCACCUAACCGCUAACACGAUUGCUUGAAAAGCUCAGACAUGAGCGUUUGAUGCACCAUCCGGUGUAGCCCAAACUCUGAUGUCUGGUCUUUGAUCAGAACUGUUCUUUAAAAAAUUGGGAAAGUGAUAGAAGUAGACUGCAUUAACUGUUUUCACUGGCAGUUAGUGUCGUCAAGGUAAAAUCUUGCGAACUCAAGCGCAAGUUUUCGGCGAAAUGUCGUCUUCACUCAUUUAACGCCCUGCAGAUCGGUAGCGUCCUUGGACGCCGGCGAGAUUGCUUGGGGUUAUAU